rnacentral:rRNA from 1 species
CCUACGGGUGGCAGCAGUGGGGAAUAUUGGACAAUGGGCGAAAGCCUGAUCCAGCCAUGCCGCGUGUGUGAAGAAGGCCUUCGGGUUGUAAAGCACUUUCAGUGGGGAAGAAAGCCUUGGGGCUAAUACCCUCGAGGAAGGACAUCACCCACAGAAGAAGCACCGGCUAACUCCGUGCCAGCAGCCGCGGUAAUACGGAGGGUGCGAGCGUUAAUCGGAAUUACUGGGCGUAAAGCGCGCGUAGGCGGUCUGAUAAGCCGGUUGUGAAAGCCCCGGGCUCAACCUGGGAACGGCAUCCGGAACUGUCAGGCUAGAGUGCAGGAGAGGAAGGUAGAAUUCGCGGUGUAGCGGUGAAAUGCGUAGAGAUCGGGAGGAAUACCAGUGGCGAAGGCAGCCUUCUGGACUGACACUGACGCUGAGGUGCGAAAGCGUGGGUAGCAAACAGGAUUAGAUACCCGUGUAGUC